AGAGUUGAUCCUGGCUAGGACGAACGCUGGCGGCGUGCUAACACAUGCAAGUCGAACGAGGAUAGUCAGAAGCUUGCUUUGACUAUCCGAGUGGCGGACGGGUGAGUAACGCGUGAACAAUCUGUCUCACACAGGGGAAUAACGCAUCGAAAGAUGUGCUAAUACCGCAUAGGACCACGAGGUCGCAUGGCUUUGAGGUGAAAGGAGAAAUCCGGUGUGAGGUGAGUUCGCGUCUGAUUAGAUAGUUGGUGAGGUAACGGCCCACCAAGUCAACGAUCAGUAGCCGACCUGAGAGGGUGAUCGGCCACAUUGGGACUGAGACACGGCCCAGACUCCUACGGGAGGCAGCAGUGGGGAAUAUUGGGCAAUGGGCGAAAGCCUGACCCAGCAACGCCGCGUGAAGGAAGAAGGUUUUCGGAUCGUAAACUUCUGUCCUAUGAGAAGAUAGUGACGGUAUCAUAGGAGGAAGCCCCGGCUAACUACGUGCCAGCCGCCGC
rnacentral:rRNA from 1 species